rnacentral:rRNA from 1 species
UACGUAGGUGGCAAGCGUUGUCCGGAUUUACUGGGCGUAAAGGGCGUGCAGGCGGUCUGUUAAGUCUAGGGUGAAAGCUCCCGGCUCAACUGGGAGAGGUCCUUGGAUACUGGCGGACUUGAGGGAUGCAGAGGAAAGUGGAAUUCCCGGUGUAGUGGUGAUAUGCGUAGAUAUCGGGAGGAACACCAGUGGCGAAGGCGGCUUUCUGGGCAUUCCUGACGCUGGGACGCGAAAGCGUGGGGAGCGAACCGG